UUAAAUAACUUAAUUAUUAUUUGUUUAAAUUAUAUAAAUUAAGUUAAUCGAUAAUAACUUUGAGGCAUCUAGGUUUGUAUUUCAUCUUUUCUUUUUGUCGUUGCUGUUGCUGUUCGGCUUCGUUGAUUCGCAGGAGGUGUAUAGAUUGCACGCGCCGCUACUGCGGUUCCUUCGUGGAUUUUCGACUUCGCUCCUUCGGCUUCGUUGAUUAGCAGGAGGUGUACAGAUUGCGCGCGUCGCUACUUCGGUUCCUUCGUGGCUGUUCGACUUCGCUCCUUCGACAGCUUUCCCUUCUUGUCGGAUCGGAAGUUGACAUUUUGAUCGGAAGCAAGAACAUGAGCUCGCUGGCUGUGAAAUGGUGGCAAAGAGGAGAAGAAGAAAUCCCCAAACAGCAUCAUGUUGGGCGAUGGAUGAGAAUAAACCUUAUAUACUGUUCAAUAAGUCGAUCAGUGAAGCACGGACCAUUUUUAUGCAUGUACAUACAGUUUCAUCGUUAAAUAAAUAUAUGCUUAGGUGAGCAGCUUGUUUGAUUCUGUACAUGCAUGCAUGCAAAAUUGUAAUUGAAGAUGAGUAUGUUUGGAUUUAUUGUGCAUUGGAUUUGAUCUAGGUUGACUUUUU